GGCCUAUUGAAUAUAAUUUUAGGUUUAAUCUGCCCACUGAAGAUUUGAAGGGCCGCGGUAUUUUGACCGUGCAAAGGUAGCAUAAUCAUUAGUUUUUUAAUUGAAAGCUGGAAUGAAUGAUUGGAUGAAAAAAAAACUGUCUUUUUAAUUAAUAGUUGAAUUUUAUUUUUAAGUAAAAAAGCUUAAAUUUUUAUUAAAGACGAGAAGACCCUAUAGAGUUUAAUUAUUGAUUAAUGAAAAUUAUUUUAGAUUUAAUUUAAUAUAUUUUAUUAGAAAUAAUUUUAUUGGGGUGAUUGAAAAAUUAAUAUAACUUUUUUUUAUUAGUAACAAUAAUGAGUGAAUAAUUGAUCCAAAAUUUUUGAUUAUAAGAUUAAAUUACCUUAGGGAUAACAGCGUAAUUUUUUUUGAAAGUUCUUAUUGAAAGAAAAGUUUGCGACCUCGAUGUUGGAUUAAAGUUAAUUUUUGGUGUAGAAGCUAGAAAUUUAGGUCUGUUCGACCUUUGAAAUUUUACA
rnacentral:rRNA from 1 species